CAGUCGCCACGGUAAAACGAAGGGUGCAAGCGUUAAUCGGAAUUACUGGGCGUAAAGCGUGCGUAGGCGGUGAGUUAAGUCUGCUGUGAAAUCCCCGGGCUCAACCUGGGAAUGGCAGUGGAUACUGGCUCGCUAGAGUGUGUCAGAGGAUGGUGGAAUUCCCGGUGUAGCGGUGAAAUGCGUAGAGAUCGGGAGGAACAACAGUGGCGAAGGCGGCCAUCUGGGACAACACUGACGCUGAGGCACGAAAGCGUGGGGAGCAAACAGGAUUAGAUACCCCUGUAGUCCCUGUCUCUUAUAC
rnacentral:rRNA from 1 species